rnacentral:rRNA from 1 species
UCAAAGGAAUUGACGGGACCCGCACAAGCAGCGGAGCGUGUGGUUUAAUUCGUUGCUACACGAAGAACCUUACCUGGGUUUGACAUAUAAGUUGUAGGGAACUGAAAAGGGACCGACCCUUCGGGGAGCUUAUACAGGUGUUGCAUGGCUGUCGUCAGCUCGUGUCGUGAGAUGUUCGGUUAAGUCCGCUAACGAGCGCAACCCUCGCCGUAUGUUACAAGUGUCAUACGGGACUGCCGGUAAAAGCCGGAGGAAGGUGAGGAUGAUGUCAGGUCAGCAUGACCUUUAUAUCCAGGGCUACACACACGCUACAAUGGUCUGUACAAUUGGUUGCCAAGCCGCGAGGCGGAGCCAAUCCGUAAAGCAGGCCUCAGUUCAGAUUGCAGUCUGCAACUCGACUGCAUGAAGCCGGAGUUGCUAGUAACCGCAGGUCAGCAAUACUGCGGUGAAUACGUUCCCGGGUCUU